rnacentral:tRNA from 1 species
AAGCCCCGGCACCUUCAAGGUGCUUCUUCAAAUUUGCAAUUUGACGUAAAUACCUCGGAACU